rnacentral:lncRNA from 1 species
GUAAAGCCUUAUGUCAGCUAGUGGUUUGGGAGAUGCAAAAUCGGGAAUUCCAGUUCAAAUCCAGUAUACUUAAGUUGGCUGGAAGUGACAUGGCAUUGAGGGUAAAUUGGGUGAGUCAAUUUGGUCGAAGUACACUUGAUUUUGUACAAGGGUGUGUCCAAUUUAGAAGCGAUGAUGAAGUGGUGGGGAAUUGAGGAGCAUAAUUUCUAAAGCGCCUGCAAAGAUGACGGGAAUAGAGGACAUGGAGAUUGCCUGGUAAAGAAACCUCAUGUGAUAGUGGGACAGUUGUACAAUAUCAGAGAGGAGAAAAGUGGAGAGAUGCCUAACAAGAUAUUGGAGAUUAUCCACAGUGUUUGAAGAACCCACAGGAUUACUUCCACCCAGAUCAUAUGGUCAUCAUGUCCCAUUAAAAGAGAGAACAAAACCAUUCAUAAACAAACUUUAUAGAUGCCUUUUUAUUCAAAAAACAGAAAUAAAGAAGCUAGUGGUGGAGAUGUGGAGAUAUAAAUUAAAUCAACAAUUAAAGGAGAAACUAUCUCAGGUUAUGGCUAGGAUAAAACUUUAUGCAGACAAAGACAGGGGAGCAAGGUCUUUUGAAGUGGAUGAUUGGGUUUUUCUCAAGCUGCACCCCUAUACAUAAUAUUUAGCGGAACACGGGCCUAGCCAAGAACUCAAUGCUAGAUAUUUUGGUCCAUAUCAAAUCCUUGAGAAGAUAGGAGUUGUGACAUAUCAAUUGGCACUACCUGAUGGUUCAAAAAUUUAUUCAGUUUUUCAUGUAUCACCAUUGAAGAAAAAACUUGGAAACAGCACUAUGCUGGUACAAUAGCUCCCUGACGAAAAGCAGUUAGUACAGUCAGAGCAUUACCCCCUACCAGUCUUGCAAUCCAGUUUGGUGAAGUGCAAGAAACAUAUGGCAGUACAAUGGCUUAUCCAUUGGUCAGAUUUACUCCCUGACAGUGCAACCUGGGAGGACGUUGAAUGGAUUCAAUCCCAGUUUUUGGCCUGUAGAUCUUGGGGACAAGAUCAAGGUGAGAGAGAGGAUUGUCAUAUGGGAAAUAAUUGGGGAAAAGGAAUCAGCAUAACCAGAAAUAGAAAAGGAAAAAGAAGGCAACGGGCUUAAUUGAUUUGAAUUCAAAAAUGGCGUCGUGGCAACUUAUCGAAAUGGUAUCACUUUACUUUGAUUAAUUGUGAUAACCUAGAAACGUUUUUGCAUUUUAUCAAUUGCGGAACAUGCUUCUUACUGGUAGUAUAUCUACUCCCUUGUGCGAAUAGAGCAGUCAGUGUGUGUAAUUGGAUAAUUUUAGUUCAAUUGUUGAAAUCGUUCAACAGCUUUUCUCACCUCCCAUCUUCUUGUUUUGCCG